GGAGUUUUUGUGAGUGGUCAGGCAGGGAACAAUGACACUGGAGAUGCGCGUCCACGAGAGGACUCCAUGUUUUUCUUUCAGUCUUUGAAUGAAUACAACGUUGUCUGGUUGGAAUAUUAUCGCUACUUUACGAGAAAAAUCGCAUAAAAAUUGAUUUUAAACAGCGUUUGACAUGCUUCGAAGUACGGUAAUGGAAUAUUUUGCAUUUUUUUGUCACGAAAUGCGCUCGCGCGUCACCCUUCGGAUUGUGACCUGAACGCACGAACAAAACGGAGCUAUUUCAAUAUAACUAUGGAUUAUUUGGAACCAAAACAACAUUUGUUGUUGAAGUAUAAGUCCUGGGAGUGCAUUCUGACGAAGAACAGCAAAGCCUGUCCUCCUGAGGCGCUCCACCCUACCUAGGUCCUGGAGAAGGGAAAAGGCACAGGGGAAUCUCCAAAGUCAAAGGUAUGUUCUUGGAGUCAGGUGAGCACAUUGUUGUACACACUGCUAUUGUUGGAGCAAGGUGAGAUGUGUUAUAUUUCUCUGCUUUGCUUGUACCUGAGGUUAGGGAAGUCAGAUACAUGGGAACAGAGAGCUCAACAAUUUUCGACUAGCAGGCACUUAGAUAUCAUGGGCACUCUCGCUCUUGGAAGGAUGUGGGUGCUGGGCUCAUCAUGACGUAACUACAGAACAGCAGGCCGCCUGGUAGACUUGACUGAAUGGAUGUUUAAACCAGCAGGAACACGCCUGAAGCUGUAGAGAUGUUUCUUGUGUAUCCAGUUAGAACUACUUUCUCCCCAGCUGGAAUGGUGACAUGCUUUUUGCUCUGUAACUUUACUUUUCCAACUCUCUUGAUUAAUUUUGUAUCCGCUAUACAGGUUUUUCACAAGAGGAGAGUAAGCUCUAUCCUCUAUCCUGCAGUAAUUGUUCUUCUCAUUGUCAGUUGCACAUUUUCUAUACAG
rnacentral:lncRNA from 1 species